rnacentral:tRNA from 1 species
AAAAAAUUAGUUAAAUUUAUAAUAUUGAUUUGUCGUGUCAAAGUUACUGCUUAGCAGUAUUUUUUU